rnacentral:rRNA from 1 species
AUGCGCGCCGCCCGCCUCGGCCUCGUCGGCGACAGACGCGCCGCCGCUCAUCGACGACGGCGUCACGCCCGGCGAGCCAUAGCCAUGUCCUCUCCCUCAGCCCACUCAAACCCUAGCUUCCCGUCGCCGGAGGCGGCGCCCUCCUUCCCGAGCCACGCCUUCAUCCUCUCCUCUCCUACAAUCCCAAACCCGGCCCCACCACCGAUCUCCACUCGCCCAACCCCAGCCCCAGCCCCGCUGGCGACCUCCUCCCCCACUCCUCAAUUCCCCGACGACGUCGUCUCCUUCAUAUCCGCCGUCGACCUCUGCCUUCUAGUCCACCCUCUCCUUCUCUCCAUGCCAAAACCAUAG